UUUCUAAAGGGAGUAAAAGUCCUUGAGAGUAUGUUUAUUUUCAGCCAAGUCAAAGUCUCCCAUUUCUGGAUGAGGCUGUGACACAUUUUGUCUUAGCAGCAACAGGGCCUCCAUCCCUUCAGUGGAAACAGUCACCAACUCUCACUGUACCCAGGUCACCUGAUGUAUGUUCUUUAGAAAGGAUGCCAAUGAGAUCUAUGAAUACCAUGGAGAAUGAGGAAAGCCAAGACAUAGCCACCAUGUACAUCCCAAAGCCCCGACCAGGUGUCCUCUCCUGAUGGAGCAGAAGCUACCUGAGGACAGAACCCUCAGUCCUGAGCCCUGGACCUGGUUCCCAGGGAAUAGAAAAAAGAACAAAGAGCACUGAGUUUAGAGUCAGAGGACCUGGAUUCAAAUUCUGGUUUUGAUGGGCACUACCUAUGUGACCUUGGAUGUCGUGGGCAAGAUCUGGAAAAGGUCUUCUUAACCAGACAUUCCUUUUGGUGGCUGAGAGUGGACUGAUCAUAUUAGACACUGGAACACUGCAGGACCCCCUCUAUGGGAAUAUCCACUGAGGAAGAACAAAAUGUAUGGGAAAUGCCUCCUGGCCACAAGACAGCCAACAAGGACAUCAGUACCUAUCUCUCACCAUGGACAAGUGAGGCCCAAAGUAGAAGAGAAGGAAGCCAGCCGGCUGAGCUAUAUUUGAGGAAUCCAAGAUGCUACACUCAGGCACAAACCCACCUUGAUCCUGCCAUUUCAACAUAGUGAUUCUGGUGAGGCUUGGAAGAGAUGUUUCAUGAUUCAUAAUUUCAAUCUCUGAUGAAUCAAAUUAUUGCGCAUGGCCCAGAAGGAAAAAAGAAACAAGCCCAAAGUGGUGUACAAUAGGUCCCUAGGCUGCAGCCUACUUCCAAGAUGAUCCAAAUGCUAGAUUACUACUAUGCAAACAUCGGAUGGGCAAAAGAAGUGAGCUCACACUGGAGUCAGAGCUAGGAGUGGCCCAUGGGCAGCGCUGGGCAACCGUGGCUUUCAUGCCAUACCUUCUAUGAAUGAUCUUAAAAGGAAAGCAUCUCACAUGAGUUGAGAGGGCACAGAUAGGCUGUCAUCUGAGUGAGGGAAGGAAUGUUGACAUUGAGAUGGAAGGAAAGUAUUUUCUAAACUGCAUCAUUUUUAUCCUUAACAAUAAUAACAUAUAAUUUGUUUUUUAUUCACAAAUUGCCUUCUAGUAUCUCUAAGACCAGGGAAAAUUUGCUUUUAAAUCUAUGCCACAACUUCAUAUAACAAUAAGAA